AUAACAAUACAAGACUCUUUCGAGGCCCUGUAAUUGGAAUGAGUACACUUUAAAUACUAUAACGAGGAUGUAUUGGAGGGCAAGUCUGGUGCAGAGCGACUGACACAAUGCGUGCUGCAGCUGAAA
rnacentral:rRNA from 1 species